rnacentral:rRNA from 1 species
GACGAACCGUGCGAACGUUAUUCGGAAUCACUGGGCGUAAAGCGUCUGUAGGUGGUCAAAUAAGUCAACUGUUAAAUCUUGAGGCUCAACCUCAAAAUCGCAGUCGAAACUAUUAGACUAGAGUAUAGUAGGGGUAAAGGGAAUUUCCAGUGGAGCGGUGAAAUGCGUAGAGAUUGGAAAGAACACCGAUGGCGAAGGCACUUUACUGGGCUAUUACUAACACUCAGAGACGAAAGCUAGGGUAGCAAAUGGG